GACGAACCACACAAACGUUAUUCGGAAUUACUGGGCUUAAAGGGUGCGUAGGCUGCGCGGAAAGUUGGGUGUGAAAUCCCUCGGCUCAACCGAGGAACUGCGCCCAAAACUACCGUGCUCGAGGAAGAUAGAGGUGAGCGGAACUUACGGUGGAGCGGUGAAAUGCGUUGAUAUCGUAAGGAACACCCGUGGCGAAAGCGGCUCACUGGACCAUUACUGACGCUGAGGCGCGAAAGCGUGGGGAGCAAACAGG
rnacentral:rRNA from 1 species